CAGUUCGGAUUGUAGGCUGCAACUCGCCUACAUGAAGUCGGAGUUGCUAGUAAUCGCGGAUCAGAAUGCCGCGGUGAAUGCGUUCCCGGGUCUUGUACACACCGCCCGUCACACCAUGGAAGUUGGGGGCGCCCGAAGUUGGUCGGGAAAUAGAUUACCUAAGGCGAAACCAAUGACUGGGGUGAAGUCGUAACAAGGUAAC
rnacentral:rRNA from 1 species